UGCUGCCUACGGGGGGCAGCAGUAGGGAAUUUUCCUCAAUGGGCGCAAGCCUGAACGAGCAAUGCCGCGUGAACGAGGAAGGUCUUCGGAUCGUAAAGUUCUGUUGAAGGGGAAAAAGAGCGGAGAGAGGAAAUGAACUCCGAUUGAUAUUACCCUUCGAGGAAGUCACGGCUAACUACGUGCCAGCAGCCGCGGUAAUACGUAGGUGGCGAGCGUUAUCCGGAAUGAUUGGGCGUAAAGGAUGCGUAGGCGGCCUGCUAAGUCUGGAGUGAAAGGUACCGGCUCAACCGGUACAGGCCCUGGAA
rnacentral:rRNA from 1 species